rnacentral:lncRNA from 1 species
UUUUUUUUUUUUUUUUCCCCGGGACACGGCUCACUCUGUCACCCAGGCUGGAGUGCUGUGAUCUCUGCUCACUGUAGCCUCAACCUCCCAGGCUCAAGUGAUCCUCACAACUUCGCCUCCCAAGUAGCUGGCAAACAGUUGUGCACCACCACACCCGGCUAAUUUUUAUAUUGUUGUUGAGAUGGGAUUUUGUCAUGUUGCCCAGGCUGAUCUCAAACUCCUGGGCUCAAGCCAUCUGCCUGCCUGGGCCUCUCAAAGUGCUGAGAUUACUUGCAUGAACCACCAUGCCUGGCCAACAAUAGCUAUUUUAUCAAAAAUAUACAAAAUGAAAGGAAGCUGCUGGGCACUUUAUGUACACUAUCUUAUUUAAUCCUUACAGCAAUCCUAGGAUACAGGUUUGAUUAUUAUGCCCAUUUUACAGAUAUAGAAACUGAGUCUCAGGUAGGCAAAGCAACUUGCCUGAGGCCACAGAGCUGAUAAAUGCUGAAACUCAAAUCCCAGCUCCACCCUGAGGCUGGUGGACCUCCAAGUCCUUGAUCUCAACCUCUGCACCCAGUUCUACAACCAGAUAGGUGUUCAGGAGAUCCAUCACAGGCAGUGGGUAGGUGAGGAAGGCUUAGUUACUGGGGCUCCUCAGAGAGGUGCAUACAACCAGGGAAGCUCAAAGCACUACAGGGACACUGGUCUGAGUGUCAGGAGCCUGGGUCCAGGUCCUGGCUUUGCCUCCUCCCAGCUGUGUGUCCUUGCUUAUGUUGCCUACCCUCUCUGCACCUUUAUUUCCCCAGCUGUGAAAUGGGUUGGUAAUAGAUUCACCCUCCAAGCCUGGUGUAAGAAGGAAGUAUGAUAAUGUCUGUGAACAUGGUUUGAGGCCCUGAAGCACCACGCUUAGUGCAUUAUCAUCCAUUUCCUGAACUUCUAGAAUGAGUGAACAGUGAGAGAAUCAGGAACAGCAUCGGGAGAAGGAGGAGAGGAAAGUGUUGGAUCAGGCUUUCUCUGGGUACAGAGAGGCAGGUAAAUGUCUUGCUCAGCCAACCUCACAUGACAAGAGGAACCUGCUAACUAGGUCACCUUGCAGGAGGAAAGAGCUAUUCCGGGAUCCGCCUGCAGUUGCAGAGCAGGAGCUGGGGAGCUGAGCUGGCUAUUUCAGGGGUGGCACAGAAAGCUCAUCCAACAGCUCUCCCUUGGAUCUCGGCCCUGCCUUGGGCCUUGGGCCUUAAGAGGCCGGGAGAUUCUAGUGGACACUGUGCUGGCACUCUCUGCAUGGCUGCCCUCAGGCAGGGGGAUCCAUCAGGCCAUCUGGAACGAUCACAGCACGAUCUUCCCCAUCCCCUGGGAACCACCAUCGCAGGCAGCUGUG